UACGAAGGGGGCUAGCGUUGCUCGGAAUCACUGGGCGUAAAGAGCUCGUAGGCGGUCUGUCGCGUCGGCUGUGAAAACCCGAGGCUCAACCUCGGGCCUGCAGUCGAUACGGGCAGACUAGAGUGCUGUAGGGGAGACUGGAAUUCCUGGUGUAGCGGUGAAAUGCGCAGAUAUCAGGAGGAACACCGGUGGCGAAGGCGGGUCUCUGGGCAGUAACUGGCGCUGAGGAGCGAAAGCGUGGGGAGCAAACAGG
rnacentral:rRNA from 1 species